rnacentral:piRNA from 1 species
UAAGCUCUACUAGGGUAAUGAAGGCU